rnacentral:rRNA from 1 species
CAGUCGCCGCGGUAAUACGAAGGGUGCAAGCGUUACUCGGAAUUACUGGGCGUAAAGCGUGCGUAGGUGGCGUGUUAAGUCGAAUGAGAAAGCCCCGGGCUCAACCUGGGAAUGGCAUCCGAUACUGGCAGGCUAGAGUUCGAUAGAGGGUAGUGGAAUUCCAGGUGUAGCGGUGAAAUGCGUAGAGAUCUGGAGGAACAUCAGUGGCGAAGGCGGCUACCUGGAUCAGAACUGACACUGAGGCACGAAAGCGUGGGGAGCAAACAGGAUUAGAUACCCGAGUAGUCCCUGUCUCUUAUAC